rnacentral:rRNA from 1 species
UUAAAUUGAAGAGUUUGAUCAUGGCUCAGAUUGAACGCUGGCGGCAGGCCUAACACAUGCAAGUCGAACGGUAACAGGAAGCAGCUUGCUGUUUCGCUGACGAGUGGCGG